GCCCGGGUGGCUUGGUCUGUUGAGCAUCUGACUUCAGCUCAGGUCAUGAUCUCCAGGUUCGUGGGUUCGAGCCCCGCGUCGGGCU
rnacentral:tRNA from 1 species